UACGUAGGAGACGAGCGUUGUCCGGAAUUACUGGGCGUAAAGCGCGUGUAGGCGGAUGGGCAAGUCUGCUGUGAAAGCUCCUGGCUUAACCGGGAGUGGUCGGUGGAAACUGCUCGUCUGGAGGACGGUAGAGGUAGGUGGAAUUCCCGGUGUAGUGGUGAAAUGCGUAGAGAUCGGGAGGAACACCUGUGGCGAAGGCGGCCUACUGGGCCGGACCUGACGCUGAGACGCGAAGGCGUGGGGAGCGAAC
rnacentral:rRNA from 1 species